GAGAAACAUUUGGAGGAAGGAAAGAGGAAAAAAGGAGACAGGAGUAGAGCACAAUUAUUCAUUUUGGGCAACAAAAAGUUAAACUGACAAACUCGUUAUCUUGUUGUCUGGAGUGUGUUGAUCGACGAUGUCACCGACCACUCUGCUACUUCCUCUUCCACAUGGGACCCAUUGCAUUGUGGGAAAGGCCUACUUAGUGAAGGUGCAGGUCCCAUGUUUCUCUCUCGUUCAAAGGAAGGAAUCCGGAGCAGGAGCAGAAUGUGCCGACCUCUGCUUGUCCGAGGCCUCCUCCACGUCGGUGUCCUCAGUGUGUGUGUGUGUGUGUGUGUGUGUGUACCUAUUCCAUUGGUCUCCUGCAGCAGCAGCUCCAGGUCGUCCACAGAGGAGAUGGGGGAGUUCCUCACCAGGUGGACCAGCGACGAGGGCAGCGGAUCUCCCUGCCGAGACAAAGUCAAACUUCUAAUGUCUGUAACGUGUCACCAUGGAAACAACCCUCGUUUACCAUCGUCGUCGUGUUCAAUGUGAUCUGAAAUAAUAUCUCCAUACGCUUUGUUUAUUGUGCGAUCAAUGAGGGGAUUGAUCUGAAUGAGGAAACACAACCGAGAUCUGAACACACAUCAGUUAAUGAUACACAACCUCGUAGUGAUGAUCAAUAAAAACCACGUCUCUGUCUGUCUGUCUGCCCUGUGGCUAAGGACACCAGGAUCAACACACACACACACACACACACAGAGGCUGUUCUUUCAGUGUGGAGCUUGUAAACAUCUGCUCUGCUGGUUAUCAGAUGUUUCUCUGCAUGAGCACGUCGCUAAGCUGUCAC